AAUUCUUAGGGGAGUGACAGAGUAGAUGCUGAGAGGUUUUUCUCCUUGUGGGAGAGUCUAGAACCCAAUGUAUAUCAUUUCUGACUAAGGGGGUGCCCAGUCAGGUUACUGAUGGGUUGGUAUUUCAUCUCUCAUUGGCUAGUGAGUCUGAAGGCUCCUUUUCCACAGAGGGCUGUAACACAGAGGUUGGGUGAUUAAGUAUAUACAAAGCUGAAAGGUAACAUGUUUUAAUCAAGGGUCACGAGGAAAAGGCACAAAAGUGAGUUGAGGAUGAUAAGAUCAGUUAUGAACUAACUAAAUGUCAGAGGAACCUUGAGGGGCCAAAUGGUCCACUUCUGCUCCUACUUCUUAAGGUCUUCUUAUGAUCUUCCACCCAGCAUUACAUGGGGUUCUGUCAAAGAUUCUAGGGCAGAGUAGCCUCGAUAAGCUGGAUCCUUAUUAAUGAUUCAAAUAGGCCUUUUAGGUCUCUUGUAGCACAUUCCUGAAGAAGGGCUUAUGCCCGAAACGUCGAUUCUCCUGUUCCCUGGAUGCUGCCUGACCUGCUGCGCUUUUCCAGCAACACAUUUCCAGCUCUGAUCUCCAGCAUCUGCAGACCUCACUUUCUCCUCUUGUAGCACAGUGUUGGUGUCCAUAUCUCGGAGCCAGACAAUUCAUGUUCACAUUCCACUUGCUUCAGAAGUGUGCAAUAACAUUUAUUAACAGGUUGAUUAGAAAACAUCUGCAAGGAGUAAAUGUGUUACAGGAUCAAUCGUGUCCUUUUACAACAUUGCUUGUAUUAAAGGAAUUCCCAGACAUUUAGAUAGGCCUUUUAUGUUAGGAGUAUAUAAAACUAAUCAACUUAGGACUUGAGUGCAACAUACAAUAGAGUGCCAGAACUAAGUGAUUCAGGGAGCUAAGUGGACAGAAAAAAGAUUUGUGCUGUUGCUUUUCACGUUUCUAGGAUUGAUCCAUAUUCUGCUACAGACAAAGAAUCUGGUUAAUUGAGAAAUUGGAUCAGUGAGGUUUCCCUUAACUUUGGAGCUGCAGUAAACAUUCAAGACAUGAUUAGUUAUGAUUCCAGCUGAUGUUAUUAGUGGACAAGUUGGAUCCAAGAAUGUAGUCUAGGCAUCAAGAAGAGAUUUCUGAUUGGUGCGAUGCCUAUUUACGGGAUUAUUGCUUGUUGUCAUCUCAAUUAGCCCAUUGAUAUGCAAGAUCCUAUCGUACCACCCU